rnacentral:rRNA from 1 species
AUUGAACGCUGGCGGCAUGCCUUACACAUGCAAGUCGAACGGUAACAGGUCUUCGGAUGCUGACGAGUGGCGAACGGGUGAGUAAUGCAUCGGAACGUGCCCAGUUGUGGGGGAUAACUGCUCGAAAGAGCAGCUAAUACCGCAUACGACCUGAGGGUGAAAGCGGGGGAUCGCAAGACCUCGCGCAAUUGGAGCGGCCGAUGUCAGAUUAGGUAGUUGGUGGGGUAAAGGCCUACCAAGCCGACGAUCUGUAGUUGGUCUGAGAGGACGACCAGCCACACUGGGGCUGCGACACGGCCCAGACUCCUACGGGAGGCAGCAGUGGGGAAUUUUGGACAAUGGGCGAAAGCCUGAUCCAGCAAUGCCGCGUGCAGGAAGAAGGCCUUCGGGUUGUAAACUGCUUUUGUACGGAGCGAAAAGGUCUCCUCUAAUACAGGGGGCUCAUGACGGUACCGUAAGAAUAAGCACCGGCUAACUACGUGCCAGCAGCCGCCGUAA